UGGGGCGUAGCCAAGUGGUAAGGCAACGGGUUUUGAUCCCGUCAUGCGUAGGUUCGAACCCUGCCGCCCCAGCCA
rnacentral:tRNA from 1 species